UUGUAGUGAGUUUCAAAAAAAGAACUGUACUACGGAGCAACCUCUCAGCCGCCCGACCCAUCUAGCCCCUACCACAUGUCCCCUUCAUCUUGCGCAAAACUAGCAGCUCACUUCAGCGGCUAAUCGGAUGAUGCGGGAGCGGGAGCGGGAGCGGGGCGCGACCAUGCUCCAAACAGUCACCCCCCUAAGAUACCAAUUGAAAAGAUACACCUACGUUUCACAAGUUUCUCUUAGGUUUCGGUAAGGUGCCACUCGGUUUUCAACGAGGUUUCACUUGGGUUUCAAGGACUUUUCAUUUGAGAUUUUAAUGAGCUAUGGCAAAAGUUACACCUAGGUUUCACUCAGGUUUCAAUUUCGUAGUGGUUUCAGGUUUCGACGAGCUUCCAUAGUACUUUCAGGUUUCAAUUGGAAUUUUGAUGAGAUUCGAAUGCAAGCAAUUAGUUCAUCUACAUUCCAAAGAACAGAAGAUUAGUAUAGCAUCAGGUAUGUGCAGUAAAUUGAGGGACUCACCAAAAAUCUCUUACAGACAAUACUAUAUUGACAUAAAAUGAAGGACUGAAAACAAAUGUGCAAAGGUUUCAGUCAGGUUUGAGAUGAGUUUUGGACAAGUUUUAGCCAUGCUCCACAUGAAUUACACAUACUCCGAGAAAUUAGAAGCAAGUUCCACAGGCAUUACACAUAUACGGAUAAAUUGCAAGCAAGUUCCACAUGCAUUACCCAUAUUUGCAAUGCGCACAAAUAAAUCAGGCGACAAAUCGUAAAGGAAACUGCCAUGGGCAUGCCUCGAGAAUAAACACAAGAGCUCCAGGGAUCCCAAAUUUUCACGUUGAACAGAACCAACCAAAUCUGAACACAGAGUCGAAGAAAACUCACCAGAUCCGCUGCCGACAUGCUUGCAGUGAGGGUGUGCGGCGGUGAAGAUGACCGACAGCAAUGUCACCCAACCGGCCUCGCCUCGGCCUCCUCCCUCAUGUCCCGCACCGUGCCAAGCAAAGCACUAGAGUGGAAGCCGGCCAGAUGCUGCCGCGGCAGUUGAUUGGACCUCGGCCCACGGGUGGAGGACCCGGUAGGACCUUGAUUUUUUUGCCUCGGUUACGAACUGGGGAAGAUUAUGAAACCGGGAAGCUAAAGGGCGGAAUCCGUUGGUGGGGUGAUGGGAGGAGAAACGGUCGGGAGCGAGAGAAUCGAAAGGGGAGAUCAACCUGAAGUGGAGGCGCUCGCGCGAGGAGGAAGGCGAGCUCGGGCGCUCGGCAGCGGGAUGGGCAGAGAGGUGGCGGCGCUCGCGCGAGGAGGAAGAAGAUCCACAGAGCGAGGGGAAAUUAAUGGCGGAAGAAAGGGAGAGGGAGAGAGUAGAUGGGGAUGCUUUCAGGGAAAGAGACGAUAUCUUUCUCUAUCGAUGCGUGGGGCGCCGUCGUCGUCUUUCUACGCAGCUUGUGCCCAGCGCCGCUCCACUCCACUGCACUCCACUCCGCUCUCCCUCCCUACCCACUGGAUUCCGUGAUCCCUUCGAAGCCCCGCAAAAACCAUCGUGCGCCCCUCUGGCGCUUUACUAGUUUAUUACUGACGAUUUCUCUCUCUAAUGACAGUAUUCUUUGCUCGGUGUGCUCGUGUUUUGCUGACCUGUGUCCCCUUAUCCUCUUCUAAGCCAACGCUUCGUCAAAGUGUGCCUGGUGCUUACUACUAGUACUACUCCACUGUACUAGCUCAACAGCUGAAAUCAGGAGCAAUCUUGCUAGCGGUAGCUCAGCAGGUGAACUCAGGAGCAAUCGCUAGCGGUUGAGCUAAGCAGCAAUGUACUCCAGUAUACAUACAUACUCUGUAGCUCCUUCAUGGAAAUUGCCACGUGGCGAAUCAGAUUAUCAGACACUGGCACUUCGAUCGGUUGUUAGGAGAGCUGCAGCACCGAGUCAAGCCUGCAUUGUUCUGUUGUGUCUUUUGUUAAGGCGGCCUGGAUUAGAUUUUGUUGGUUAGCCAACUAUUCUCACCGAACUUUGAAAUCUCUUAAGGCUAGGAGCAGUUCUUUCUUUAAAAAGUACAAAACGUUCUUCUUCUUCUUUUUUCACAAACAAAAAAUCCAAGUCUCAUCUGAACACUGGUACGUGGAACCCAUCAUGCGAACGAUACCCGGCUCGGCCGAACAGUAAUUUAGAACAUAGUCCUACCUAUAUUGACCGGAUUUCGGAUUUCUUCAGACAAAUUUUUUUUGACCGGAAUGGCAGGUGCUCUGCCUUUUCAUUUAGAAGAAUAGAAGAGUACAAAAAUGUUACAACACCUAGCAGCAAUGAAGCGCCUGAUGAAAACAGGAAUACACAGAGAUCAACCAGCACCGGCUGAGAAAACUACAGGUUUACAAUUUCUUCAGACAACUAAGCCGGCGUUACGGCUACGUGCGAGGAUUUCUUACACGCUCGUACGGAUUGCCAACUGUCUGUCGCGUCGUAUCUGCCUGUCUCUCCCGUGUGGUUACAAACGCGGUGUAGAUGCAGAAGGAGCCAUGUAAGCCAAAUUAAAUUAACCAAUGCGACGCCCUUGUCCAGAACCGGACGUCGCACUCUACAUGCCAUCAUGCUCACGUGGAGCCAGUGAAGCGAAAGUUGCAACACAUGCGUGCUGCCAGGUGCCACGAAUCACCUGCUGCCCCAUGAAAAUUCCGCGAUCAGCGCACCAAGGAGUUUCGGCCCAAUCCAGCGAAGAAGAAAGAAGAGGCGACAGUGUGCUUCCGGUGCUCUUCUAGUUUCUACUAUGUUUGGGCCAAAAAGUCUGGCCCAAUUGGAACCCACGGAGAUACAGAGCCAUCCUACCGGAGACCGAGGCGAAGUGUCGCCGCCGAGUCGCCGAUAGCUCCGGUUCGAUUCGAUCAGCCACUUACUGACUUACUUAGCUUACUGUAGAUGUUAGCUGAAAUGUGUGGUUGAUGGUUGUUAUCACCAACGGAGAUUGAUUGCUUAGGUUAAGCUCAAGAAGAAGAAUGAAUAGCGUGGUGACUGGUGACGCCCUGCUGCCCACUCGAACGCGACCGCUUCCCAGAUCCAUCUCCAGCAGCAGCAGCAGCAGCUCCCUCCCAGAUCAAUUUUCCGUCCCGGUCCCGGGCCACACGUCCUCGUCGUCCCCUUCUCAGCACAGGGCCACGCGCUGCCACUUCUAGACUUCGCCUCCCAGCUCGCCGCCCGCGGCCUCCGCCUCACCGUGGUCACCACGCCGGCCAACCUCCCGCUCCUCUCCCCUCUCCUCGCCGCUUACCCAAGCUCCAUCCGUCCCCUCACGCUCCCCUUCCCAACCCACAAUUCCCUCCCGCCCGGCGUCGAGAGCACCAAGAACUGCCCCCCUUCCUUCUUCCCCGCCUUCAUCCACGCCUUCGCCGCGCUCCACCACCCCAUCCUCUCAUGGGCCAACUCGCAACAGCAGCAGCACGACCCCGUCGUCGCCAUCGUGUCCGACUUCUUCUGCGGGUGGACGCAGCCGCUCGCGGCGGAGCUCGGCGUGCCCCGGCUCGUCUUCUCGCCCUCCGGUGUCCUCGGCGCCGCCGUCCCGCACUCGCUCCUCCGCCGGCUCGUCCGCCGCCCGCCGGACGAUGCCGAUGACGGGUUUAAGGUCGCCUUCCCGGGGAUUCCUGGGGAGCCGGCGUACCAGUGGAGGGAGAUCUCCAUGAUGUACAGGAUGUACACCGAAGGCCGCCUGGAGCCUCAGGUCGGGGAGGCCGUGAGGAGGAAUUUCCUCUGGAACUUGGAGAGCUGGGGAUUUGUGUCGAACACGCUGCGCGCGCUCGAGGGGAGGUACCUGGAGGCCCCGCUCGAGGACCUCGGGUUCCGGCGCGUGUGGGCGGUGGGACCGCUCGCGCCGGAGAAGGACGUCGCCGGAGAUAGAGGAGGCGAGGCGGCCGUUUCCGCCGGCGAUCUCGGCGCCUGGCUCGACGGCUUCCCGGAAGGCUCGGUCGUGUACGUCUGCUUCGGGAGCCAGACGGUGCUGAACCAAGCCGUGGCUGCCGCGUUAGCCGAGGCGCUGGAGCUCAGCGCCGUCCCGUUCGUGUGGGUCGUGGGCGCCGGCGCCGGGGACGAAGUGGUCCCGCAAGGCUUCGAGGCGCUCGUGAGUCGCGGGCGGGUGGUGCGCGGGUGGGCGCCGCAGGUGGCGGUGCUGAGGCACGCGGCGGUGGGGUGGUUCAUGACGCACUGCGGCUGGAACUCGGUGCUGGAGGCGGUGGCCGCCGGGGUGCCGAUGCUGGCGUGGCCCAUGACGGCGGAUCAGUUCGUGAACGCGCGGCUGCUCGUGGACGAGGCGCGCGUCGCGGUGCGCGCGUGCGCGGGAGGCGUCGGCGUCGCCCCGGACGCCCGCGAGCUGGCCGCCAUGCUGGCCGGCGCCGUCGGGGAAGGUGGGGGCGGCGCAAGGGCGCGCGCCAGGGAGCUCGCGAAGGAAGCGGCGAGCGCGACCAUGGAAGGCGGGAGCUCCCGCGAUGAUUUGGACCGCUUGGUGCGAGAGAUUCGGAAGCUUUGAGAUCCAUCCACGUGGCUCCGCACAGAACACGUGUUCUGGAAGGAAGACUGGCUUGCUGUAUGCCUGUAUGAAUGUGAUGGAAAAAAGGAUGGGAUGAGUAUAUAGUAUAGAUUUAUUUAUCCUAAAUUAUUUAUUUAUUUAUUUAUUGUGUAUUUGUAUAUUUUUAUUUGUUUGUGAAGAGAUUUCAAAAAAUCGGAUACACAUCUCUCACAGCACAAAUAAUUCUCGUAUACACUUCCAUUUUGCUGUCAAUUGCAGAAACGAACCAACGUGAAAAAAUGCAUAGCGUGCAGGAAGGCAGUUCCACUCUUCAGGUUAUCUCCGAGCAGAUGGUUUUUGAUAGCACAACUAGAAUAUGGAAUAUGGAUGUGAGACUGAGCUUUGAACUCGGCUCAGAAAUUCAGAAACUCCGGCAAGCCAUCUCCCCAAUUCAAUUCUCCAGUGGCUGCUGGGCCCAAUGGGCAACUGCAAAGGCAGCCCAAGCUCUAGGUUGGACGUACGUCUCCGGUUCCCGUUGCCAACGACGAGCCGGGCCCCCGUGACGCUGAAUCGUUGUCACAAUAUGGUGCUCUUCCCUGCCAAAAAAAUUUGGUGCUCUCCAAUCUCGAUAUUACUCCGUACCUUAUUUUUCCUGCUUUGCUGGCCUGAUGCACCUCCUGAGAAUUAUCUCUUUUGUUGCGGGUAGAGAAUUAUCUCUUUCAACUAUGUGUACUGAAUCUGAUCUCAUAUGUUGCAAGUAGCAGCACUGACAAGUUUCCAAUCCCAUUCGCGUGCGAUCUACUAGCUUCAAAUUUAAGGAGCACCAGUCUCAAACACAGACCAAACGAUCCCGAAAUAAAACUGACCGACGCGUACGCCGACAUCUGGUCUGAACAAGCCGUUUGCCAGCAGGAAACACAGGGGAAUUAAGCGGCCGUGUCAGGAAUGCCGGAAGCCACGGAGGACCCCGUACGCCGACGUUUGACUUAACCAACCUACCUGGCCCAUGUUUCACCAGCGAAACAGACCAUGUGGCAGCUUGAGGGGAGGUAUCUUCCGUCCGUUCUCCUGCUUUAAUUCCAUUUCAAGCGUCGCUGCUCGUGAAUCGGCAUCGGUCAGUACUAUUUGCCUCAGUUGUACGUGCACCUACGGCUUCCUCGAUUGAUCUUCUUCCUGGGCAGCAGUGGUCCCGUACUCGCAUUGUUUCAACCCAAAGCAAAAGCAAAGCAAAGAACCUUCCUGAUGAGUUGGAAUCCAGCAUCCAAGCGCACACAGCUGGGGAGAUCUGGGAUGGAAAACGUUUCGCUGCUGGCCUUGAGUUGUGAACCAUGUGGGGGAAUUGUGGUUUGUAGAGGCACCGGUGGUUGGGUCAUUGGGUCAGCAGAGAGAUACUCCAGUAGCCAAACUACUCACAUUGCCAAGUUUUUUAUCUGCUUAAGUCACUCAUCCAGACAUCCACAGCUUUCCUUGCUGACAGCCUUUCAAGACAAUCCAUCUAUGUUUGUAAUUGUAUGUGCAAGUUUAAGAUAUUUAUAUAUGAUUACGGAACUGUUCAAAACCGUGUAGCGACAAGUGAAUGAGAGUGAAAGGUCCAGCAGGAGGAGGACAUCACAUGAGACGAGAUGUGUAACGUCAACUGAAAACUCCCUUUCGGCCCUUGAUUUAGCGUGAUUGCAGGAGACUGUUUUAAUUUGUGCACAGCUGCCUACCUGGAGAUUAUUCGGGUACUAGCGCGGCCGCAAAGAAGUCAAAAGAAGUUUGUUAUGGGCAUGUGGGGAGGACGGGAUGGAUGUACUAUGUGGAAAUGAGAGCCCCAAUAUGAUAUGAUUGGGAUUUGUGAUGCUCUACUGUUGCAAGGUGGAUUGUCCAAGUUUGGCGCCUCACUGAAGAUAAAGAAUUAAAGACUGAUAUUAGUCGGUACCGAAGUCGUAGUACCAGUGAAAUUAGGGUCAGUCAGUUAUCUUUCCCAGUCUCCGAGUUUUCUUCCAUGUUGUUUAACAUUGUUUCAAGUGUACUUAAAGCAAAAAAUCAUAACAUGAUUGGGUUCUCAUGUGUCUCUGUACUCCAGAUUAGGCUAUCACAUCCUAUACUACAUCCUUUUUUGUUCAACUAAUGGAAGUCCUGAUGUCAUCCAACCACAUAUUACAGCGUAUCUGCGUAUGCUUUGCUUAAAUGCUUCAUGGAUUUUCGUUGGGAAUCACUACAGCAACCGAUUCGCUAAUUAAGGAAAGCCGCACCUCCAAUCAACUGAAAUCGGCAUCGCUAAUGCUUUCAAACAAAGCAUGUUAUCAUCUUAGACCUCUGGAUCAGCUGUAGACGUCUCGUCAAGCCAUCAACUUGCCAUUUUUAAGCUAACGUCCGAAAGAAUACUUGCCGAACGAACAAAAAACUAGGCAAAAUUGCUCUAUUACGCAUGGUAUCACCACCUAAAAAACUCGUUUCUCACCAGUCCUACUCCUACAUGUGCUGGCCGGAUCAACUAGAUCAGACAACCAGCAGCUGUUGCACAGUAGAUUGGUACUAGUGCUAUAUAAAACUGCAACUACAAAAAGGAAAUGCAGGAAAGCAGCAGUGGUGGGAGGGGCUCUGCCUUUCAGUUUCAGCUGGGCGAAAGGAGACGCUCCUAUCGCUGCCCUUUCUGUCGGCGUCCCUGCCAACGGCAGAUGGCUGCGAGAUGCUGUCCCUUUUCACCCGCCGUGCAUUGCUUCGCUUCAAUUCUUCACUUCACCCCCGUCCUGCAGGCUCUCUGACGGUAAACUCCCUGCAGAAUGGCAGCCGGCCAGCAGCACAGGGGCCAGGUUUCCAGCUGCAGGUACAGGAAUCCAGGACUCAGAUUUGCUUGCUCUGUAGCGCUAGCUCCCUUGAGUUCGAAGCAUGUAUGGGUUUCUCCUGUGAACUGGGCCUCGUCGUGUCUGUCCGAGCACGGACGGCGUGUAGCGUAAACGACAACGCUCUAACCACUUCUCCAUCAACUGGCGCUUAAUUAAACAAGGCAGAAAGGGAACGUUAAAUGGUGCUUAAAAGCAUGGGGGUGGUGACUGAGAGCGGCAGCAGCCCGGAAAGGGAGAGACUCCACCUAAUUGCAACCUAAACGUCGCUUUUCCUGUCGGUUUCGCCUCUGGGAGACGAUGAUUAAGCUCAUGACCUUAGCUAGCUGUGCCUCCUGCUGAUUAUAUUACUACUAGUACGCGGUAGCUAGAUGAAAUGAGCGCAUAUGGCAUCUUAAACUAAAGAAAGGUGUCAAGGGGAGGGAAAAGUUGGGAGAGAAAAAGCAAAGCCAUGCAACUCAUGCUAAUAUAUAUGCUAUGAACGAUGGGGAAUAAGUAAUUGUUAUGCGAUCGCUGUUUGUGUUUAUGUUUCACCAAACGGUCAGUGCCAAGCACAACAAACAUGCAUAUGACUCCAGAAUAUACUCAUAUAAGUAGUUAACUUGAUGCCAGAAUGAAGUGUUCAACCUUCGGUAUGCACAUGUGCAGCCGCGCCUGUGUCUCAAAGCUCUGGUACUAAAUUCUUGAUUCAAAUUUAUCCAAAUAUGGAUGUAUCUAUUCUUAAAAAGCAUCUAGAUACAUGUAAUAUUUCGAUAACAAUUUAGAAUCGGCGGGAGUAUAACUGAAGAGAACAACAAGAAAAUGACACAGCUUUAUACUCUCUACUCCUAGUAGUAGUAUUUUGUUUUCGAAACGCGAGCACAAUGUAUUAUAUUAAGACUGCUAACAAAAGAAAUCUGGUCUAGCAGUACUCCUGCCACGAAUCGACGAGUAUAUAUCUUAAUCAAUUCGCCGACUGCUGACGGGACUGGUUGGUUGUUCCAGUGCAGCUUUCGCCAACGGCCGGUUUCCGGUGAGCGUGACGCCAAGCUGCGUAGGUGUUGUUGCAAUCGGCGAAACCCUGGCCUGGCAUACACGUAGGCAUCCAAAACCAGCUUGAAUACGCCCUCUGCAUUGCGCUAGCCGACGGUGGCACCGGUAGAAUGGCUUAGCGCGUCUCUGAUUCUCUUCUAUAGUUAGGUGUAUACGCUGAUCUAGCUACCUUAAGACAGUUGACCGACCGUCGAUCGGAUUCAGAUCGAGUGGACAAGGCAGCUCCGUCGUGUGUAAACUGUAGCGGAGCCAGCCGGGCCUGUACUGUACCGGUCAGGUCUUUCUAUUCUGUUUCUUGAAUCUUGAUUGAAGCCAGAUCGAUCGAUCAGAGUCCGACCGAAGCCGACUGCACACACAGCCGGUCUGCUCAUGUGUCAGUUCGUGAGCCAGCUACCUUGUACUGCUCAUCUUCAGGCUCCUUUCCCUUCCAAGGCGAGUACUAAUAACUGAGAUGUUCCUUUCUCGAAAGAGGAGUGGGAUCUUUGCCCUUCCCUGCCUCGCGCAGGCAUCUUGCUCUUUUUAAGAAGAGGGGAUCUGAUCUGACGCACAAGUCCAUGCAGCGGCAGCGCUGUCAAGCCUUCAUCAGAAACGACAGUGGCAUUACCAAAAAGCAGAGUUAUAAAAGGGAGGCGGCCUUGAACGGUAAUGCGGAGUAGAUCCGUAAAUGGGAUGGCCGUAGCACGAGAGCUUUUACGGGUUGUGAUGUGCAGCAGAAAUUAUGAAUUCAGAAGUGGUACUAUGAGGAGUAUAUAGUUUGCAUUCAUGGCCGCCCUCUGCAUGUGCAUGUGGCUUGCACGUGUGUGCCAUCCCCACUUGGUUUAAGAGGCAAGCUCCUUUUGGUAAAUUCAACGCGGUUUGGUUAGCAAAAGGGGCAAGAAUUAAACUGUGAUGCGUGCCUUUGCUUAAAAGAAGGAAGAAAGUAGUACGUGCUUGUGUUGUGGUGCGGAAAAGGGUCUCACACUACUUCAAAUUCGACAUGAAUUUGAGUGUACCAUAUCAAACUCUUCGUGGCCGAUGCCAAAUUUACGCUUUGAUAUAUAUCUUAUCACAUCUUAUCGCGACGUCAAGCUAGCGCCUCGUCACGGCACCGAGCUUGCUCCUUGUCCGGAUGUUGAGUCACGCCUUGGUCGAUGCCAAAUCUCGUCAAAACAGUGAGCUUGCACACUGCGUCGGGACGCUAAGUCAAGCCUUGGUCGAUGUGUCAUACAUAAUCAUGAUGCCAAGCUCGAUCCUCGUCCGGACUCGGAGUCAUACCUCGGUCGAUGCCAUAUAUCGUCCCGUCGAACUUAUCCCUUGUCCCGAACGUUAAGUCACGCCUCGCGCGAUGCCACACAUUGUCACGCCGUCGAGCUUAUCCCUCGUCUGGACGUCAAGUCAUAUCUCCGUCGAUGCUAAACAUCAUCACGCCAUUGAGCUUAUCUCUUGUCGGGGCGUCAAGAAACCCGGCCUUGUCCAGAUGUCAAGUUAUGCCUCAAAAUAUUAUUGGAAUAUUUCAUGAGAGCGAGGCAAAUGACCAUCGUGCCCUUCCACUGUCCCCCAAUGGGAGAGGGGCAAAACUGUACUCCUAUCGUAUCCGGGUCUUCAUUAUAUAUUAAAUACCAUUUGUGUGUACGUGAGAAAUGGGAUCUCACUUUGUAAAAACUAGACUCACUAGCGACAAGAAUGUUCUCACUUCACCGCUCUGCAGUUUUCAGUUUACCUCGACACGAUGAGGGCAUCAUGUUUCGCUAUGUUGUAAUAGCAUUCUUCUCGUGUUUCAGCUUGGCGUACUCCCUGUGCAUUCCCGAAGACCGACGUAACUGAUAUCAAGAGUGUCCAAAGUACAGUGCCUAGUCCCGUAAACGGAAGUUUACAUUUCAUGACGGAACGAGACGUAGCCCUCGGCCUUCGAGACCAACGGAUCAGAUCAUUCUGGGGAUCCUACUGUCUUGAUCGUUGAAUCGCGCCAAACUCUGGGACUGCAAAAGGAACACGGCCAAAAAAGAAUAAAACAAGCGAAUUUACUGUAUGACAACGUGGGUUUUAACCUCGUAGCUCACAAUAACUGUACAACUAUUGGCACCGGAGUCGUAGUAGCAGUACUCCACUCCGUACGAUUUGCUACCGUUAUCACAUCUUGUCUGCACAAAGUUUUGAUACACCAGCGAGUAGGUAAUUCCUCCUUCACGAUAGGGCCUAAAAAGCCCGCCUAAAGUAAACGAGCUUUUUAAACCGUAGUAGUAGUGCGGUGAAUGGUGAUUUGGCACGCGCUACUAAAGGCGUGCUUACUUUGAUAACAGCCGAAAUUUGGCCACAUUUCCGCUGCCUCCCCGAGUUCCCGGCCGCGUGUUCACCACGAGGAACCAAGAACCAACCGGCCGGCACCGCCGCCUCUCCCCCGUGCGGCACGGCUGGCUCCCCUGCGGCGAUCUGCUGCUGCCAACUGCCGAAUUCCCAGAGUAAACCCCACCCCCGUUCCAUCCCCACCUCACCAUCCACCACCUGCGCCCUCUUUUACUUAUCUCCUCCUAAUAAUUGCCUUCUUCCUCGCUUUCCCUUCCCUUCCCCGGCCCCGGCCUCACCUCGUCCUCCUAUCCCCCACCUUCUCUUAUACCACACUUCCCCCGCCCCGCUCCUAGCCAAAGCCAAACCCAACCUGCAACCAGCAACCCAGCCAAAGUCUGCCCCCCGGCCCGGCGAGCUUACGAGACGAGGAUGAAGCUCCCGCUGUCGGCGGGGUCGCCCGACGCGGCGGCGCUGCCGGAGUCGGCCAGCAAGCCGUCGCUGCCGGCCACGUGGCUGAUCCUGCACGCGCUCUUCUGCGCCACAUCCAUGGCCGUCGGGUUCCGCUUCUCGCGCCUCGUCGUCUUCCUCCUCUUCCUCCCGACCCCGCCCAUGGACCCCGCCGCGCACCUCGUGUCGCUCGUCUCCCCGCCCGUCAUGCUCGCCAGCGCCAACGCCACCGCCGCCACCAUCACCACCACCACGACCACCACCACCACCGUCACCACCACCACCACGGUCGCCGAGGCGCAUCACGACCACGGCCAUGUCCACCAUGGCCCCGUCUUCGUGGGCCGGCACGCCAUCCGGGUCCGCUCCUGGCCGCACCCAGACCCCGCCGAGCUCAUCAAGGCGCACCACAUCCUCGCCGCCGUCCAGGACGCGCAGCGCAGCAGCAGAAGACGCGGGGCGGAGCCGGUGAGGCCUGUGAUUGCUGUCACCCCGACUGCCACUUCCGCGCUCCAGGCGCCGUGCCUGACUUCGCUGGCGCACACGCUGCGCAUCGUCGAUGGCCCGCUCUUGUGGAUCGUCGCCGAGCCUGGCCACCGCACCGACGCCGUCGCCGCCGUGCUCUCCCGCUCCGGCCUCGACUUCCUCCACCUCGCUGGCCCCGCCGGCGCCUCCACCGCGCGCCUGCGAAUGCACGCCCUCAGGUACUGCCUUACUACUGCUAAAAGAUGCUCGCCGUCGCAGCACUAGAUCUCGCCAAGCGGCGCCCCUGGUCUUAUUAGAUGGGAUUUCCCGCAUCUGUUUGUUCACAAUUUGGAUCUCUCUGGGGAUUAAUACAGGGAGAUACGGAAGCAGCGGAUGGACGGCGUGGUGGUGUUCGCGGACGAGAACGGCAUCCUCCGCACGGAGCUAUUCGACGAGGCACAGAAGGUGAAAUCCGUGGGCGCCGUGCCCGUCGGCAUCCUGGGCGAGGACGAAGGCACCAAGGAGUCGUUCCUCCAAGGGCCCGCCUGCGACGACGCCGGGAAGCUGGUGGGAUACCACGUCUCGGAGGAGACCCUGCUGCCGGCGGAGCGGGGCGACAUGCUGCUGUCGAGCAGGCUGGAGUGGGCCGGGUUCGUGCUCAACGCGCGGGUGCUCUGGGAGGGCGCGCCGGAGCGGCCCGACUGGGUGCGCGACCUCGACGCCGUCGACGGCGCCGCGCACCUCGACAGCCCGCUCGCGCUCGUCACCGAUGCCGCCCGCGUCGAGCCGCUCGCCAAGUGCGCCCAGGCGGCGCUCGCGUGGUCGCUCCGCUCCGAUGCUCUGCACGAAGUCAAAUUCCCGCAUGAGUAAGUUUUCCUUCGUCCCUGUUUGUUUGGAUUCCUCUUCACUUAGCGAAAACGAAAUUACAGCGUGAUUGUUCUUUUUUUAGAUGACAGCGUGUUGUUGAUUGCUACUGAUUGUUGAUUAGUGCCUACGUUAAGUUAGUCCCAUUCUUAGAUCUAAGAUUUGGUUUCAUGGCGCGACAAGAAUGUAAGUUAGGUCGUGCAAAUUAUGGUUGGUUGGCCAUGAUGGUCACUGUGUUCCUUCCUAAUGAGGUUGGUGGGCGUGUACGAUUCGGGGGGCGCCCAGAAAUCAAUUCGUUUAGGCCUUAACCAUGUGCCCACCGGACAUAAACAGGACCUUAUUUUUGAACUGUCUUUGGCUACCCUCGGUAUCAUACUACUAGUCCCUGCUCAUAACGUGUAUGUAUAGGUUGUCAUCGAUGUGACAGUCUAUCUCAGUUCGCUGCUGUUUUCGCCAAAUAGUUUCAGCCGUCUUGUUAUGCUUUUCUUGUAGUAUGGCCCUGGUAGUACAGUACAAUAAUACAAUACGGGUAUACAAUGUAGUACUCCCUCACCACGACAAUUAUUUAGGAACGGAAGGAGUACUAAUGUAGUACUACCGUAUACUCCAAUAUUAGUAUACUGUAUAUUCCAUGUGGGUAUUCCUCGAAUUCUGCCACGAUAUUAGGAUUUCCUUUUCGUAUUAGCGGAACAAUGUAUAAUAACCAGGACAUGAGAGAUUCCACUGUUCAGCGACGCUUAUGGUGUAACUUGUUUAAUCAUCAUAGGGGAUAAUACCACAUUCAUCUGCCUUUCUCUAAAAGACACAUUUAAUGUCUUGCACAUGCUCACCUAAUCUAGCUGGCUUAUGCUUUAUGUCAAAGAAAGUCGAGCCAGGUCAUUCUAAACAUUCAUACUUACCACGUCAGUUGACAUAUCCUGUCGUCGAUGGAACUUCCUGGAACCCAUACAUGAGAACCACUUUUGUUUAAAGACUCUGAAAUGCAUCCUGUCCGUAAUCUUCAUUUUUAAUUAAUUCCUUUUGGAGAAGUGUACAAUAAUACAGGUUGGUGGGUUGCUCGUUGGUGUUCGUAUUUUAGACUGUCAUGGGAAAAUAAUUCACAAGAUUUAAGAGAUGAAUCAAUCAGCUCAUGAUUUAAUCCCUACUGCUCUUUCAUUAUUCUUACUGUUUUAUUCAAAAAUAAAAAUGCAUCCCCACUUCUGUUUGCUACGAGGAGCAGUACCUAACUAUCUUCCAUUUUCGCGCAGAUGGAAAUUUGAUCCUCCUCUGGUGAAUGCCGCUUCGCGUCAACAGAGCGUAGUAAAUACUGAAGAUGGUCACUAGAGAACAGAAAUUUUGUGAACAACUGAAAAUCAGAGCUAUGGGCCGCCUGCUUUGUGAAGCCUCCACCGAUGCAUCUGUCCCUCGCUGGUGCCAAGGGCUCUCAACCCAAGUAACAGAAGGUAGCUCGGCUCAGCUCAGCUAAUGUGUUGGGAGUGCAGAAAGUCACAGACGAUACAUCUAUAAAUCAGCAAGCAUGUUUUGUAUCAUCAUCGUAUAAAAUAGUUACAAAAAAAAGUUUAAUUAUAUGCACCAUUCAUCGCUUCUCCAUUAGGUAGAUAUUUUAGGCGUAUUUCUUUUGUGUAAUAUAUAGAUCAGGGCAGGGGCUCGCGGAAUUGGUCUGGGGGUUAAGGCCGUUUUGUUCGUGUAAUUGUGUGAAAUAAUAAUGAUCCACCUCAUUUGGUGACGGCGUUUUACCAUGUAUCCAGAGUGUACCGACGUUGCUCAGAAAAACAGAGCAUGUGACGGUAUCAGGUUUUGCGCCCAAAAUGAAAAUGUGGUCGGUGAUGGUUAUGGUGCUCCUCUUCCACUUUGCACAUAAUUUGUCGGUUAUGGUCUUAGCAGCAGCUGCUAAACUCUGCCGGAACAAAUAAGCUUGGAGGUAGUUAUGGAUCCUCUUAUGACAGCUUGGAGCAGAGGCCCGCGUAGACGCCCACCAUCGACGACGGCGAACGUGAUCCCUCGCAGAUCACAGCGUAGCCGCCUCUGACCGCGGAACACUCUGCCGUACUCGCACGGGAGAAUCAGCAGCAGUGGCCCCUCUAGCGCCGUGUUGUCCGAUUAGAAAGACCAUUAGACCACUAACACUGAGCGGUGAAUUUUGUGGUUUAACUGGUGGCCAGGCACCUAGAGCAUUUUGCUCCUCCUCCCUUUCUUCCUUCUAAUCUCGGCAAUGUGCUUACUCAAUAGUCAAGGUGAAGUUUGUGCUUAAUUUGUGGUGAACUGGUGACCAGGCACCUCGAGCGCUUUGCUCUUCCUGGCUUUCCUCCUUCUCGGCAAUGUAUGCCGCAUCUGGCAUGAGUGCUUAGUGCUUACUCAAUAGUCAAAUACCCACCAAAUCGUCCUGCGAUGCGGCUACCAGAAGGAAGAAGAGGACCAUGGCUGUAGAAGGGAAUGGAAUAGCGUGAACUUGGUACUGCGAUACUGAGGUUGCUUUCUUCUCAUUAGUCUAUUUCUACAUACUCCAUUUUGGAAUAAAGUUCUUGAUCUGUUCACGGUGCUGAACCACUAAACAUGUUCUCCUUUCCUCAAAAUAGAUUUGUUCACGGGGUAAACGAACAGUCAUUCGGGAAAGAGUUGUUGGUUUUGUCAAUGAUGGGGAAGAGUUUCAACUCAUUGCCUUUUCAGCUCAGGAAACUGAUCGUAAAGUUGCAAAUUAGUCUUCCAUUUUUCACUUCAGGAAAAAGAUUCUAAAAUUGCGUCUCUGUGUGUUGACAAUUUUCCAUGUAUCUGAUCAAAAAUAGUUUGAUAGGAAAUAGGAACCAUUACUGAUAAGUAAAAUGUUCUCCUUUCCUCAAAAUGGAUAAACAAACAGUCAUUUGGGAAAGGUUUUGUCAACAAUGACGGGGAAGAGUUCAACUCAUGGCCUUUUCAGUUCAGGAAACUGACGCGUAAAGUUGCAAAUUAAUCAUCAAUUUUUCAAUUUAAGAUUUUUUUCUUCUAAAAUUGCUUCUCCGUGUGUUGAAAGUUUUGCAUGUAUCUACGAAUUUGGUUCCUUAUGGUGGAAGCAGCAUACCGAGGUUCAAGUUCUAAACUUGACAUGUGCGUUCGUAUUUUCCGAAUUUAUUGUAGGUUUUAACCGGUGUUGUUCUUUUCAUGAGAGUGACGUAUUCUUCAACGAGUAGCCUGUGAUACUUGUCAAUCUCAAGAUCUGUUAAAACAAGCUUUGAGGUACUGAAAAUCUGCUACUUCGAGUAGAACAAUAAGCAAGCUUCGAGGUACUAGUUAAAAAUGCAAAAAAUGCAAUUUCACUCAUCUUAAUACAAAAACACUCGUACUUAUUUAUUCACUCCCAAAUUCUGAUGAUUUACAGAUGAGUUUUCCAAUAGAUCCACCGGCUGCAAUCCAAACCAAACUCUACAUAACCGUUCAUGGGGUCAACAACCCAAGCAACAUAAUAAAUCGAUCUUAAACCACGACGGGUUUGGGCGGCAGGUCCUUGCCGGCGAGGAAGUGCUCGAAGAGCUGGCUAGCCUGCACGGGCUUGAGGGUGGGCACCAUGUGCCCGGCUCCCCGGACGGUGACGAAGGUGAGACUCUCGUAGCCCAACGUGUACCCGCCGACCUGGUCGCUGGUGAACCACUCUCUCCACUCUUUCACAGUCUUCAGCCCCAGCUUCGUCAGCGCUCGCCGGGUGCCCGUGACGGGGACAACGCCGUCCGUGUCGCCGCUGUACACCCAGACCCGGAGCCCGGCUUCCACCGCCUUCUUGAUCGCCGGCAACGUCGAUCUCGGCGCCUCCUGCCAGUUGUGGAACACCGUGUCGCUGCACCCAGACCACCUGUAACAACACAAGAUGUUAUUACUAGCUUGUUACUCUCAGACCGUUGAGCUUGGACUUCAAAAUGACGAACUUUUGCCGGACCUGUAGGGGAUGAUGCCGGACGUGUUGGCAUGGAGCGCGUGUUGCACGUCGCGGCGGUUCAGGUAGGCAUUGGUGUACUGGUCCUGGCACGGGUCGUAGGCGUCGUACAGGAGCCGGAGACGAAGCUGGCCAUGGGUUUUCUUGUUCUUGUUGUUAUCGGUGUUGAUGGGGGAUGAUGACCGGCGCCGGAGACGGCGUGCCGUGGAGUUGGCGGUGCACAAGGGGGUGUAGAGGCUGUAGAGGUCGAUGUCGUUGAAGCCGCUGUAGAGGUAGUUCAAGGCGAUUUCGCAGGCGAUGGUGUUGUUCUGGUGGUCGUUGUCGAACUUGCAGUUCUCGAUGACGGCGGCGUGGAGCUCGUCGGAGACGAGGGCGUGGUCCCACGUGUAGUCCACCGUGCCGCGGCUGUCCGACGCGUCGUCGAUCGCCGGGUUCCCGAUCUUAAGGAAGAAGAUACAUGAACACCUCUAGUACUGUAUUUUAAUUUGCAGUGGCCAGCUACGUACCAGGUAUCCCUUGAGAUUGAUCUGGUUGCUCUUGUGUUCCUUCUUGUUUUUCUCCAGGAUCUUCUCGGCGAGCUGGGGGACAUAGUGCCCUGCAAUGCAUAUGCACAGAAUUAGACACGUAGUAGUAACCAGUAUGAGAUUAAUUUGAUCGAACAGGAGCUAUUGCUAAUCUUACCGGCAUAGCUCUCUCCGGCAAGGUAGAAAUCAUGGCCUUUGAACUGCGGGAACCUCUCGAACCAGUUCACGAGGAAAAUGUACGCAUCGUGGGCUUCACAAACACAUGCAUGCAUCGAUCGAGUCAGGUUGCAUGGUUACAGAAAAUUUGGACAAAUAAAGGGAUUAAGGGAGAGAUGUAUGUAUGUACGUACCGGCGAGCUCGUCACCGAAACUAGUGAGAUCGGCGGAGGUGUUUGUGUACGAGAAUCCGACGCCGGCAGGUUGCUCCAAGAAGAGCAGAUUCGCCUCUGCAGUUGCACCCAUAAAGGUUUUAAGAUUAACAUUAAGAUGAUUGCAAUUAGCAAACAUGACCAAAAUAAUUUGACAACAACAUUUCUAGAUAAAUAAAAUCUCAAGAAACUCGAAUAAAAUUUGACAGCAUGUCACUGAAUUGUUGUUACCUUUGUUCCAUGCGUUGGGGUUUAGCCUGAGCUCCGGACUUCCCUUCUGGGUCUGCAAGGGGCCCAGCUCCUGCAACGCUCCGUAUCCCAGCGACGAGCAUCCCGGCCCUGCAUCAUCAUCAUCCAUCGAAGGCAGUAUAAAUUAACAAAAUGCGUCAUCAAAAAAGAUUACUUUCACAGGAAAUGCGUUUGUAUACCUCCGUUGAGCCAGAGGACGAGGGGCUUCUUGCUGACAUGCCGAGCGGCCUCGAAGAACCAGUAGAAGAGGGCUCGGCCGUGGGUGGCGUUCACCGUGACAUAGCCCGAGAAUUGCCUGAACCCGACACCCGCCGGCUGCCCCGGCAGGGAUUCCACCCGGUCCGCCUCCUGCCGGUCGAACACUUUCUCGAACCCGCCGCCGCUGCCUUGAUGGUGGCGGCCGUCGUGCCUAGCCGCCGCAGGUAUCGUCAAUGCCGUAGCAAGGGCAAAUGCGAGUAGUAGAACGGCGCUCGCCGCCGCCGUCGACAUUGUUAAACUUCUGCUGCUCUGUGGUGUGGUAUACUGGUAUGUGCUACAAGUCUAGGCCUGAAGGUGAUCAGUUGAUCUCAUACGGGUUAUAUAGAUGGCUGGAAGAAUAUACAUAUGGCAGAAAGUAAUAUUUUUGAAGCUGUAUUCCAGUUAGGAUUGAACGUGCAUGUUUUGUUUUGGUAGGUGGUGCGAGCUAUAUUUGGAUGGGAAUCAAUCUAGGAGGAAUUAGAGACGUGAAAGAUCAAUGUAUUUGUUAAGUGGUGAUUGGUGAAGAUGGGGUGGGAUAUCUAUUAGUACCAUAUCAGGAGAUUUAUUUAUGUAGAUGCAUGAUAUAUCUGGACUGAUUACCACACCAGGUUAUUAUUUCAAGGUUAUGACAGUCCAUGGUAAUUAUGUUGGCGAAAAAAUAAAUUGCAGUAGCUAGCAUUGGCUGUACAGAGUAUUUAUGUUGGUGAACUUGCAACAGCUAUUGGCAGAAAAAAGAGUUGACAAGGUAGCCGUGCCUUGGCAUUCCAUGGUUUAGACGAAUUGUUAUUUUUAUCAUCUGAUUGCAAUGCAAAAUUUGCAUUGCUUUCUCGUCAAUGGAAGUGCCUCCAACAAAGCAUCUCACAAGUUUGUUUGUAGCUAAUCUUCAGUGCUCUUCAAAUCUGUGAUUCAUAUUCUGCGCUUGAAUGGGAAGUAUUUAUACACUAUGUACACUUGAUGCCCAUGAACAUAUAUUUUCAAAAAUAUUUUUGAAAUUCAGUGUUCAAAACUAAAUGUUACUCCCUCCGAUCCAUAAUAGGUGUAUCCGAUUUAGUACAACUUUGUACUAAUUUUGUACUAAAUCUGAGAUACUUAUUAUGGAUUGGGGUACAAGUUUUAACGGUACAAGUUUUAACGGUACAAAUUUUACCUGAAUUCAUUUUAUUUACUUUCACUUCUUCUCCAUGAGCCAUGACCAAAGGAAAUACACACAUGGUUACAAUUCAGAGUUCCUAAUUGACAUCUCAUUUGCAGUAUGGCACGAAAACUAAUAAUAGGAAUUGCAGCAUAUUACAGUCUAUGUAAAAUUAUCUUGGAAUUUCGGAUGAUUGGAUGAACUCUUUCUCCAAGCUGUAUAGUCUAGUUCCUUCGCCGCCUUUGUUGCCCUUGAAUGACUGAUCAUUUGGAGCAUUCUGGCUCACUCUUGUUGUCUGAGAAUUGUCAUGAACCUUUGAACUCUGUACGUCAAGUGUUGUUUCCACUUGCCUCAUUGUAGGCCUUUCUUCACCUUUCAGACUUAAGCAUGAUACUGUGAGUCUUGCAACCACCGCAGCAUCUUCAGCCCCUCCCUCCUCAACAAUUUGUGUGUCUAGAAUAUCUAACAAGCGAUUGUCUCUUACUGUUGACACAAAAUGGGAUGCUAGGCUUGUGACUUCUGAUGAAUGAGAAGAAAAAACUGGUGUUACCCUUGUCAGUAGCUCUGCUAGGAUGACGCCAAAGCUGUAAACAUCGCUCUUCUCUGUGAGUCGACUGGUGUAGUAGUAUUCAGGAUCAAGGUAACCAUAAGUUCCUUGGACAGCUGUAAGUAUUCCUGUCUCAUCUAUUGCAAUUGACCUUGAAGCUCCAAAAUCUGACACUUUUGCUGCUAAAGUAUCAGUGAGUAGUAUAUUUGCACAUUUGAUAUCUCUAUGGUAUACUGAUAUGGAAGCAGCAGAAUGUAGAUAUGCAAUAGCCCUUGCAGUUUCUAGUGCAAUCCUCAACCUAUCUUUCCAUGACAAAGGGCUCUCACUUUUGCCAUGCAGAUGAAACGAGAGAGUUCCAUUUGAUAUGAACUCAUAAACUAGCAGAGGAACUUCUGUCUCGAGGCAGCAGCCAAAGAGCUUCACCACAUUCCUGUGGUUUGUCUGUGAAAGUAUGACAACCUCAUUGAUGAACUGAUCGAUUUCCCGUUGGAGGACGAUUUUGGCCUUCUUGAUGGCCACAACACGCUGAUCAGAUAAGAUGCCUUUGUACACCAUGCCAUGGCCACCACCACCAAGGAUGCGAUUAUGGUCAAAUUUGUUGGUUGCUUGCUGUAGCUCUUCCAAGCUGAAAAUUCUCGUUCUUUCGGCUAUAUCUUUGUUUGAAGAGAUUAACUGUUGUAGAAGCAAUCCAUGGUUUUUCUUGAAGAACUUUUGUCUCAACUUCUUGACCCUUCGUUGCUUGAGUUUAUUGGUGAUUUUGGCAACACCCAAAAGUGAAAACAGUAGGGCCAAACCAGCACUUAUUGCAACCAGAGUGAUUAAACCUGCAGAAACGGAAGUAAGGAUUGAUAGUACAGUAUAUGCCGCAUGCAUUUCAAAAUUUUGAACUGAAAGUUUGUAACUACUCAACUGUACCAUGACAAAGGUUUUCUUAGAAUAUUUAUCAGAACAAUCAUAUAGGAAGUAAUUUUUCUUUCCAAGGUCAGUGAUCACAAGUCACUAAUAUAUGAAACACACAACCCUCUGUAUUUAUUUAUUUUUAUUUCUUAAGACCAAUGCCUUCAGAGCUUAAAUAUUAUGACGACUGACCUUAAAACUGAGGAAUGCAGGAGUUAGUAUUUUCUGUAGCCGUUCUACUGAUGUACUGCAUAGCAAAUAACUAUCAUAAUUCUAUGGUCCUUGAUGAUAAUUAAGUAAAACCUUAGGCCAAGUAAAUGAGUUGUAUUUGUACCUGGGAGGCUGAUGAUGCUUUUCGUUGCUGAGCAGCGGUAUGUCCCUGGUAUGUUGAUGCAGGUUCCUUGCAGGCAUGGAUAAACAUCUGGCUGUUGGCACUCGUCGAUAUCUGAAAAAGGAGGGGAAAAAAUACAGUUGAAAAGCAGAGGGAUGUCGUAAAUAAAAAAUACAAUAUUGCUUGUCGAAAUAAAACACACAAUUUGCUUGAGAAAGCCGAGGUUUGUUGAAAUUGCAGUUGAAGCCUCUAAACAUUGAACAAAAAAGGUAAAAAUUUGUGGUGCAUGAGAAUACUAAGAACAAAAGGAAGAAAAAAUACAGUUGAAAAUCACGUAAGGAUCUAUCAUCUUACUUCAAAGUUCAUUCCAAGAUACUACUGUCAGCAAGCAACGAAAACACCACCAGUAAACGGACUAACGGAGUACACAACCCUCUGCACACCGGCUGCCGCCAGCUGCCUAGGUAACUGCUGGUCACCAUGGGUAGGGGAUGGUGAUCCUGCCGCAGGACUCCAGGCAGGAGCAGCCUUGCCUGACGCCAAAAGGGUAAGGGACCUGCCGCAGGCCUCCAGCAGCCUGCAGCCGGGCAAGGCUACUGGAAAAGUGAUUGCCACAAGGAGCUGAAGUGCCAUCAUUGUUGGCAUGAGAAUUGAGAAGCUUUGCUUGUGGUUAGGGAACGGAGAAGAACCAUCUUGAGUAUGAUGCUGUUGUGGCAUGGCUUUGGAAGUUGGAACUAGCUAGACAAGGGUGGACCAAUGAUCGUUUCCUGCUUCUUUUUUAGUAAAGGAAAGUAGAGAUAAACAAAUACUCCAGUGAUGAGUGCAGUAUUUACCUUGGCAUCCAUUAGAGAUGUAAGGGUUGCCCUCGUAUCCAUUCAAGCACUUGCACCAUAGCCGCAUGUAUUCAUUGUCCUUGUAGACCAUGACGCUGUUUAAGGUCGUGCACAUUCCUCAUUCAACUAAUAGCAUGUCCUUGUCACGGUUCACAUCCAGCGACCAUUCCAACACCGCCGGAACCACUGUUGAAUCAGCAAUCUUCUGUUGUUCUUCAGGGUAAUUCAGCUGCAACAUGGCCCCCUUUUCCCUGAACCACUCUUGAUCGGCUAUGAAGAACACUCCGUAUCCCGAGUCAUUGCCACGUGUCUGAACCAAGUGAUUAAACCGGACGCUAAAGGAUGAGAGACCUGGCUCCGCGACGAGCAUCUCGCAGCAGCCGAGGCCAGAGCAUGAACUAGCGUUUAACCCAUUCCCGUACUGGCAAUACGUGGCGCAUACACUAAUGUACCGGUCCACAUCAUCAACGAGGCCGACUACGAGGUCGCAUCCCAUGGUCAUGAACUGGUUAUGUUUUGCGGACACCGUCAGGCGGCCGGCGGUGGGUGCCAGGCUGGCGGGCCACGUUCCGUUGAACGUCUCCAAGGAGGAUUCCUGGAGCAUCUUGGUGUUGAUCCGCACCGUGCCAUCCAGCAGGGAGAUCUCGACCACUUCCGCUGAUGCCGUGCCACCACCUCCUACGAAGAGCUUUGGCGGCUGGCUCGUCUUGUUGCAGGUGAGGUUGAAGCCCUCACGGAAGCACCCUUGCCCGAUGCCGAAAGGGUACGGGACGGUCACAUUGCCGCACGCUUUGGGGCAACCAGGCAAGGCUACCGGAGCGGCUAGUGCUGUGGCUGUAAGAAGCUGAAGCAUCAGUGCUGUGAUCAUGGCAGUUGCACAUAUCUUAGCUUUUAUGGAAGGAGUAGAUGGACUAGUUGGUCUCAUCUUGCAGACCUUUGCUACUUCCUGCUUGCUCAAUUCAGGACUCAGGACUAUAUAUAAUAUAUAUACACACUCUUUAGCAGAAGCGAAUGAGUGUGUUUAAUUACCGCCCUACCUGCCGUAGUGAGCAGGGUAAUUGAACCUGGUACGUCGCUCUCGUGUUAGUCAAAGUGAACGGGACAGGAUGGUCGCACACUGAUUAGUUAUCUAAUGAUCCUCUGGUCUUACUUGGAAAUAAUGUGUCACGACUUGUCUUUAGCAAUAAUAACGUGUCUUCGUGGGAAUUUAUGUUGAAGGGGUCAGUGAUUUGCUGCUUAAGUAACGAAUGGUACUUUGUCAGUGAUGUGACAAUCUUCUGUUUUGCGUGGAAACUCAUGGCCAACUUAAACUCUUAUGUAUACCUAUAGUGGACUUCGUGGACUAUGGUGUCAUCGGUCAGUAUGUUCGUCACUGGGUGCCAUGGUCGCACAGUACCAUCCGGGGCAAGGACGUGCCACUGUGUCCACGAACCCGUUAACUCCAGCGUCCAGACAACCAAGAAGCGGCAAUUUUGACGACUGGGAGCAAAACACAAAAUACCUCAAUGCUGCUGGACCCCCGCUCGGUGGGAACUCACUUGGGCAUUUCAUCAAACAGCUCUCCUGCACUGCCAAGAACCCAAAUUGAACUGAGGAUUCGUGGCUAUAAGCCUAUAACCAUAUUCACGAGGAUCGAUCCUGUAUCGAGUCACUCACCAUUAAUCCCCCACCAAGCACCAAGCACCAAGCACCUCGCGAAGAAGUUAGAAGAGGUGGACUGCGCCGCGAUUACGGAGUGCAAGGCCCCUCUUCACAGCGGCUGCCGCUGGCCGCCGGCCGCCGGUCGCCUGAGUACCCGCACCAUUCGCCGCGCCGGCCUGCCGCCGACCAGAACCCAAGCCGCGCGCUAGCAUAUUGUUCUCCGCUCUGUUAUCUUUUUCUUUUUAGGGGAACCGCUCUGUUGUCUCUGUUAGCCUCGGUCACUCUUCCAAUUCACACGGCCACUGCGUAGGUCGUACGCGGCUGGGACGAAUCGCGGCCCAAAUUCAGCGUACGCUGCUAUCUUAUUUCUUUGCCCUUUCCGGGUACGUUCUCCGUUUUCUAGCCAGCCCAUGGGCCUCCCGGAAGUACCUACAACUAAAUGCUAGUGAAUGGAAGAAAUUAAAGCAGUGUUUUCUCGAAGAGUAAUGCACCGCAUGUCCUAACUCUUUCGUAAGUUAUUUUUUGAAAUUUUUGAAUCCCAAUUGUUUCGUAAAUGGUUCACCGCAGGCCCUAAUAUGGCUCGGGCGAAUGCCUACGUGGCUGUCUAGGCACACUUGUCAGGUGCCAACGUGCACCUUUUUUUAUUGAAAAAACAUUCAUGGAACCUUCGUGGCUCUUCUCGUGCCCCAUCUAUCCGGCGAGGCCAAGGUCGCCGGCGUCAGGGUACCCCUGCGGCUCCGACACGCGUGCCGCUCUUCCUCCCCCGCCCGACGAGUGCCCCUGCCGCUAGCGCUCCUCCGCCGCCGUCAGUCUUGCGCUGGCCGUCGACGUGGCUCCUCCGCCUCCGUCCCGAUGUGCGCCCCUCCUGCUCCGACACGCGUCGCUACUCUUCCUCCAUCGCCCGACGCGCAUCCCCGCCGCUCCUAGUGGCGACGUGCUUGGUUCACCGGGGCGUAGCAGCAGCGACGGGGCGCCGCCUCGGUUCACCGUCGAGGGCGACCAAAUCAGCUUCUCCCCCUUCGAUUCCUCCCUCUGUUAGCCUCCCCAUACCUUUCUUACCAAAAGCCCUCGGUCAAUUCCAGUAUUGGCGGCCUUUGGUGAGCUCCCAACGUAAGCCACCGCUGCCGGACCUCCGCGUCAAUGCUGCUGCUCAUGUCCUCCUCUCUUAAAUUAAUCGUGUCCAGAGCUUGCCGUACACCCACUGAGCAUUAGCCCUCUACUAAUGUUAGGAUACAGCGAGCUAGCGCCGUGUGAAACCGUCGUGGCUCGCCGGCGAGCUACAACCCUCCCCGUAGAGCUAGUCCACCGUCUGGAGGUUCCUCUCGUCGCGUUGAAGCUCCCGGUACCAGCGUCGCCCACUGCCGUUGACCUUCCCCUCCGGCGAGCUGGGAGGAGGAGCAUUGCCAGAGAGAGAGAGGGGCAGAGAACGGAGAUGACCAGAGAGAGGGGCCAAGGAAAGAGCAAGGAAGGUGCUAGGGAUGUUUUUGCAAAAAAGGGUUCACAUUGGCACCUGACAAGUGGGCCCAAAUAGCCACGUAGACACCAGGCACGCGCUCGAGCCAUCUUAGGUCCUGCGCUAAACCACUUACGAAACAAUGGGGACUCAAACGUGCAGUUUCAAAAAAUUGGUACUAAUUUGAGACUUUUACGAAAGAAUUAGAACUUCUGAUGUAUUUUACUCUUUCUCAAAAAAAGAGGAAAUUAAACAGAGGAAAGUUUUUUUUUUUUUUGACCACAGGAGUGAAGUUAGCACAGUAAUAGUGGCAUGACGAUACCUUGGCAUCCAACAGCGAUGUAAGGAUUGCCUUCGUACCCUUCCGAGCAGCGGCACCCUACUUUGGAUACCCCAAUGCUGGCAGCGAAGCUGUUCAAGCCUAUGCAUGUCCAACCAGAAUCCUGGUUAAACAUGACCAGAUCACCAUCGCGUUCCACCUCCAGCCACCAUUCCAGCACGGUUGGCACGCUCGUCACCUUCCUGCUGGCGCCAUAGAAGAAGCUAUCGAAAUGGAACGUGCUAUUCCGCAAGGCGCCGACGUUCCGGCUGAACCACUCGGAAUCAACCACGAAGGCGCCCCCGAAGGGAACGUCCACGUAGUCGUAACGGGCCGUCUGGGCCAGGUCCUUGAACUGGACCCCGUACGCGGGCAAACCCUGCGUUAUGGUCGUCUGGCAGCAGCCGACGCCCGAGCACGAGGCGUCCUCGAGGCCCGGCAAGGUAUCGCACAGCGCGGCGCAAGCGCUGACGUACUCGUGCCGGGAGUCCCCCUGGCCGUCCCGGUGGCCGGCGACGAGGUGGGCGAUGAUGUUGCACCCGACGGCCACGAAGACGUUGUGCUGCGUCGACACCGCGAUUGUGGCGUUGGGCGUUAGGCCGCCGGACCACGAGGCGCCGUUGUCGACACCGAGAGUGGUCGCGUUUAGAACCUUGCUCCGGAUUCGCACGGUGAGGUCUGAGAGGGAGAUGGCGUCCACUUCCACGGCGUCGCCCAGGAAGAGCUUGGGUGGAUGGCGCGUCUCGUCGCAGGUGAGGUUGAAGCCCGGGCGGGAGCAGGAUUGCCCGAUGCCGAAAGGGUAGGGGACGGUGAUGCUGCCGCAGGACUCCGGGCAGCCCGGCAAGGCUACUGGAAAAGCGGUGGCCACGAGGAGCUGAAGUGCCAUCACCGUUGGCCUGAGAAGCUUUGCUUGUGGGCAAGGAAUGGAGGAAAGGAGAAAAUUCAUCUUGAGCAUGACGCUGUGUUUGGUUAAGCCUGGCCUUUGAAACUGGCUAGACAAGGGUGUGGUACUACCGCUGACCGUUCUCGUUUUGUAGGAAAAAUCGUUGGACUUCUCAGUUGACUUCAACUUCCACUCCAACCACGGCAGUAUAGGCUACUGCUGAUCAAGACACACUACAAGUUAAUUCGUCGUUGAGACCACGACCGAAAGUUCAAUUGGGUGGCACCGAAAGCGUAUGUCACACUUCAGCUCCUAGCUAGUUACCACAAAACAAAGCGACUUCCCUGCUGAAUGAAUUUGUCACACGUUUUGGCGUUUUGCUUUUCGAAACUGGAAAAAUUCAUUCCACCUCCCCGAUAGCUAGGGAGAGCUGUGAAUGUUGUAUGAGUUUUUUUGUUUCACGUUUAGAUUCACUUUUCACAUAUCUCGGAAAGUUUGAGUGUUUGACAGAUUACCCAAAACACUUCUCUCAAUUAUUCUUGUGUUUUUCCUAUGUACUCUCUUCGAUCCAUAGCAAGUGUCUUGAAUUUAGUACUCCCUCCGUCUGUUAUUAUGUGACUCAAAUUUGUCUAAAUAUGGAUGUAUCUAUAUAUUAAAAUACAUCUAGAUACAUAUAAUAGAAAGUUACUUAAUAUGAGACGAAGUGAGCACAACUUUGUACUAAAUCAUGUACUUCCUCUAAUCUUAAAUUCUUGACUCAAAUUUGACCAAAUGUGGAUGUAUCUAUUCUUAAAAAGCGUCUAGAUACAUGUAAUAUUUUGACAACAAUUUAGGAUCGGAGAGAGUAUUUAACAUGCAAUGACAUUUUACUCAUAUAUUCGUCUAUUUAUCUGUAUUGUAAUCGUGUGAUCCGGAGAAUGACCCACAGGGCGACCACGUUUCAAGGCAAUGUGUAUAUGGGCUCAAAAUUUGUUCAGGCUAGCCGGUCAUAUGGCCCAGCUUUAAAGAAAAGAAGCUAGACAGACUAGUGCCCAUUGGAUCGUGGGCCCAGGCAGGCGUCCGGCCUGUCCGCGCUGUGCAGUAGAUCAAGGCCACCCAUUGUAACCGGUAUGCACCUUUUUUUUUCCUCCCUCUGUUCUGGUUCUAAGCAAUGAAAUUUCGUUUUCAUUUAAGAUGUUUCCAGCAAAUUUCGACCUCAAUCAACACGAAGGUGCCGGGCAAGCGCCAAAGCAAUGAAAUUUCCUUUUUAUUUACGCGCACAAGACUUAUCCAGUAGCGACGGCGCCUCUCGUCUUCUUCGAUCUUCUUCUUCCACGCCUGUCUUGCCUAGAAACUCUUUCCGGUCCAACAACACUGUGCACUGCAAGCAAAAUGCUGCUUAAUUACUACUCUCUCCGAUUCUAAAUUGUUAUCGAAAUAUUACAUGUAUCUAAACGUGUUUUAAGAAUAGAUAUAUCCAUAUUUCACAAAUUUGAUUCAAAAAUUUAGGAUCAGAGGGAGCACCGUCCUUAGUUGACUAACCGUUAGAAUGGUAAGCAUACAUGUCGAGUAUAAAAAUAUAACUCCUGCAUCGGCUGCAUGGGCGGUGGCUAGCUUGCAGAAAUGCAGCUCUCGUGUCGGUCAUGUGGAUCAAUAAAUCCUUAUGCGUGUCAGCAUAACUCGUCAAGCGACGACCACAAUACAUGAACUCUGAUAUCCAAGAAAUUUGUUUUGACGAAACACAUAUCCAAGAUAUAGAAUUGCCACGCGUAUCGUGCAGGAGUACCUGCGAACAGCGACACGAUGAGUAUAGAAACCACACAAUUCCCAGCCGGAGACUUGUCCGCUUUCGUAUGAGCGAAGCGAUUGUAAAUUACUCCGUACAGUACUAGUAUGUCUGAAGACUGAAUAAAGUAUACUCUGCGUAUACAGUUAUACACUAUACAGCCCUCCAGGGUCCAGGCCUUUAAGUAGUAGCCGGAGCCCACUUCCUAGCUCGCAAACCAGAAGCUCAGCAGCAACCAGCUUCAGCUUAGGCACUACAAUGGUUAGGGCGUUGGAUCUCUCCGUGGCUGCCAAAGGCUUCGCGGCCGGGGCCGUCUCCGCGCAGCACGCUGCGCCCGGUACCGUCGUGGGCUUUGUCUUCGUCUUCGUGGCUGCGGUUGCGAUCGUGGCCAUGGCCGCGUUCGGCUGCGCCGACGGCGCUAGCGGGCCUAAACGCCGCAGCCAUUGGGGCGGCGGUGGCGCGGGAGGCGGCGCCGGCUGCGGAGGUGGUGGAGGAGGUUGUGGCGGCGGAGGCGGUGGAGGAGGUUGUGGCGGCGGAGGCGGUGGCUGUUAAUUAAUUAAGGAUGCGCGUCUUAUGGGGGGGGACUACGAUGUACGAUCAAAACCGAGUUCUUGGCGUGUACAGAUGUACUGUGUAUUGCUGUGUUACGGGACUAUAUGUAUAUAUAUACACGUACUCUCCGUAAUAUUGCAACACUACUGUAGAUAUGGGAUCUCGUAUUGCCUAUACGUAUAUUUGUACUACUCAUGUACCAUUUGUGAUUGUUUUGCGUAAUUGCAGUUAGAAUAAAGGAAAGUUUGUGGAUCUUAAUAAAUGACAUUAUAUUUGACAUAAAAACAGCAUAUGUUUGCUAAACAAAAACUGAGUAACAUAUUUUUCCAUAGGAUUGGGUAAA
rnacentral:lncRNA from 1 species